GAUGAACGCUGGCGGCGUGCCUAAUACAUGCAAGUCGAGCGAACGGACGAGAAGCUUGCUUCUCUGAUGUUAGCGGCGGACGGGUGAGUAACACGUGGAUAACCUACCUAUAAGACUGGGAUAACUUCGGGAAACCGGAGCUAAUAUCGGAUAAUAUUUUGAACCUCAUGGUUCAAAAGUGAAAGACGGUCUUGCUGUCACUUAUAGAUGGAUCCGCGCUGCAUUAGCUAGUUGGUAAGGUAACGGCUUACCAAGGCAACGAUGCAUAGCCGACCUGAGAGGGUGAUCGGCCACACUGGAACUGAGACACGGUCCAGACUCCUACGGGAGGCAGCAGUAGGGAAUCUUCCGCAAUGGGCGAAAGCCUGACGGAGCAACGCCGCGUGAGUGAUGAAGGUCUUCGGAUCGUAAAACUCUGUUAUUAGGGAAGAACAUAUGUGUAAGUAACUGUGCACAUCUUGACGGUACCUAAUCAGAAAGCCACGGCUAACUACGUG
rnacentral:rRNA from 1 species